CGGCUCCGGCCUUGCAGGAGGCACAGGGAGGCACUGAGGAAGGAGAGAGACAGGCAGAGAGAGAGAGGAGGAGGCAGGGAGGGAGGGGGAGAGGGGAGUGGGAGGGAGAGGCAGGGAGAGGGUGACAGGAAAGGAGGCACAGAGGGAGAGAGACAGGAGUGGGAGAGAGAGGAAUGGGAGAGAGAGGAGUGGGAGAGAGAGGAGUAGGAGAGAGAGGAGAAGGAGAGAGAGGAGUAGGAGAGAGAGACAGGGAGAGAGAGGAGUAGGAGAGAGAGACAGGGAGAGAGAGGAGUAGGAGAGAGGAGUGGGAGAGAGAGGAGUAGGAGAGAGAGACGGGAAGAGAGAGGAGUGGGAGAGAGAGGAGUGGGAGAGAUAGACAGGGAGAGAGAGGAGUGGGAGAGAGAGAGGAGUGGGAGAGAGGGGAGUGGGAGAGAGAGGAGUGGGAGAGAGGAGAGUGGGAUAGAGAGACAGAGAGAGAGGAGUAGGAGAGAGAGGAGUGGGAGAGAGGGGAGUGGGAGAGAGAGACAGGGAGAGAGAGGAGUAGGAGAGAGAGGAGCAGGAGAGAGAGAGGAGUGGGAGAGAUGGAGGAACAGAGAGACAGAAAAAGGCCAGAGAGAGGAGAGAGAGAGAGAAGCAGGUUGAAGAAGCGUCUCCCUAACAGUCUCUUCCACACCCUGCACAGGGCAGAGCACCCCACUGCGCUCUGGGCACUGCGGUCACCCCAAACCCUACAGGGGGCACACACACACCUCCCUCCUGCAGCGGGAGUACAGCAGGGGGCAGGGAGAGGAGACGCCACCCCCAAAGACUGUUACAGGGGUACAGCGGGGGUACAGCAGGGGGCAGGGAGAGGAGACGCCACCCCCAAAGACUGUUACAGGGGUACAGCGGGGGUAGGGAGAGGAGACGCCACCCCCAAAGACUGUUACAGGGGUACAGUGGGGGUACAGCAGGGGGCAGGGAGAGGAGACGCCACCCCCAAAUACUGUUACAGGGGUACAGCGGGGGUACAGCAGGGGGCAGGGAGAGGAGAGGCACUACAGAGAGACGCCACCCCCAAAGAGUGUUACAGGGGUACAGCGGGGGUACAGCAGGGGGCAGGGAGAGGAGAGACACUACAG
ensembl:lincRNA